rnacentral:rRNA from 1 species
ACCUGCCCUAUGAUUAAAAAUUAAAUGGCUGCGGUAUUUUGACCGUGCAAAGGUAGCAUAAUAAUUAGUUUUUUAAUUGGGAACUGGUAUGAAAGGUCGAACGAGGAAGAGACUGUCUCAAUUUAAUUUAAAUUAGAAUUUUAUAUUUAAGUAAAAAAGCUUAAAUAUAUUUAAAAGACGAGAAGACCCUAUAGAGUUUUAUAUUAAGGUGAUUAUAUAGGAAAUUAAAGGAUUAGUUUUUUUUUGUAAUUAUUAAAAUAUUUGGUUGGGGCGAUUAAAAAAUUUAAUAAACUUUUUUUAAAUUAUAACAUUGAUUUAUGAAUAAGUGAUCCAUAUUUAAUGAUUAUAAGAUUA